AAUGCUAAAAGAAUGGAAAUUUAAAAAAAAACUUUUUUAAAAAUAAAAAUUGAAUUUUUUUUAAUUUGUGCAAAAACAAUUAUAUUUAUUAAAGACAAGAAGACCCUAAGAAUUUAAGAUUUUACAAUUAAAAAGUUUUUUUUUAAAAUCUUGAUUGGGGCGAUCAAAAAAUAUUAAUAACUUUUUAAAAUUUAAAUUGAUCUAUUAUUAAUAAACUAAUGAAUUAAAUACUCUAGGGAUAACAGCGUA
rnacentral:rRNA from 1 species